GUAGUGGGGGAUAACGUCCGGAAACGGGCGCUAAUACCGCAUACGUCCUGAGGGAGAAAGUGGGGGAUCUUCGGACCUCACGCUAUCAGAUGAGCCUAGGUCGGAUUAGCUAGUUGGUGGGGUAAAGGCUCUACCAAGGCGACGAUCCGUAACUGGUCUGAGAGGAUGAUCAGUCACACUGGAACUGAGACACGGUCCAGACUCCUACGGGAGGCAGCAGUGGGGAAUAUUGGACAAUGGGCGAAAGCCUGAUCCAGCCAUGCCGCGUGUGUGAAGAAGGUCUUCGGAUUGUAAAGCACUUUAAGUUGGGAGGAAGGGCAGUAAGUUAAUACCUUGCUGUUUUGACGUUACCAACAGAAUAAGCACCGGCUAACUUCGUGCCAGCAGCCGCGGUAAUACGAAGGGUGCAAGCGUUAAUCGGAAUUACUGGGCGUAAAGCGCGCGUAGGUGGUUCAGCAAGUUGGAUGUGAAAUCCCCGGGCUCAACCUGGGAACUGCAUCCAAAACUACUGAGCUAGAGUACGGUAGAGGGUGGUGGAAUUUCCUGUGUAGCGGUGAAAUGCGUAGAUAUAGGAAGGAACACCAG
rnacentral:rRNA from 1 species